GAAUCUAUACAAGCGGUGGAACAUGUGGUUUAAUUCGAUAGUACGUGAUAAACCUUACCAGUUCUUGACAGUUUAAUUAGGCACUAAAUUGAGAAAUUUAGUUGUAGAUUAAUAACAGGUGUUGCAUGGCUGUCGUCAGCUCGUGUUGUGAAAUGUUUGGUUAAGUCCUUAAACGAGCGAAACCCACCUUUUUAGUUGCUAUUAUUAAAAAUUUUAAUAAGGACACUAAAAAAACGGUCUUUGAUAAGAAGAAGGAAGGUGUGGAAUGAUGUCAAGCACUCAUGGCCCUUAUGAACUGGGCUACACACGUGUUACAAUGGUAAAACAACGAGAAGCGAUAACGUGAGUUGGAGCAAA
rnacentral:rRNA from 1 species